UCGAAACUCAUCUGAAACCCUAUGAUCAUGAUCUAAUAAUGAACUUUGAUUGUAAACAACAUUCUAGAUCCAAUGGAAUCAUGCAAACCCUUAUGUGAGAUUGUUUUGACUAAAUGUGGAGCCUGUACCAAUAGAUUCAUUUUUCACAUAAUCCGCUCAAUAGCUCAAAUGGAGUCCAGAAGCCUUAGGACCUGAACCAAGGGUCCCCAUCCUAAAAUCGAUGUUUCAGAGCUGAUGGAACUAUCGUAAUUCUCAUCUGAGGUUAUUCGCUAGGAUUUUUGGUCUAAGACCAAAUUCUAAACAGUGAAGUUUCCAGAAUAGAGAAAUGAGCCUAAAAUCCAAAUAAACUAUCUGAUCACCGAUCCAAUAGUUCCAUCAUGUCAUAAAUAACCUGUAGCUGCUAUGGGGAGGCUCAAAAUACUAUAAAUGCAUGAAAACUGAAGAAAUG
rnacentral:lncRNA from 1 species